GAAGGCGUCGCAAGACGCUUGUACAGUGGCGAACGGGUGAGUAAUGCGUGGGUAACCUACCCUUGAGUGGGGAAUAACUCGCCGAAAGGCGGGCUAAUACCGCGUACGCUUCUCGGUCUGCGGACCGAGAAGGAAAGCUAUGCCGUGGGUAUGGCGCUCAAGGAUGGGCUCACGUCCUAUCAGCUUGUUGGUAGGGUAACGGCCUACCAAGGCAACGACGGGUAGCUGGUCUGAGAGGACGAUCAGCCACACUGGCACUGCGACACGGGCCAGACUCCUACGGGAGGCAGCAGUGAGGAAUAUUGCGCAAUGGGCGAAAGCCUGACGCAGCGACGCCGCGUGGGGGAUGAAGGUCUUCGGAUUGUAAACCCCUUUCGGGAGGGAAGAUGGAACGGGCAACCGUUCGGACGGUACCUCCAGAAGCAGCCACGGCUAACUUCGUGCCAGCAGCCGCGGUAAUACGAAGGUGGCAAGCGUUGUUCGGAUUUACUGGGCGUACAGGGUGCGUAGGCGGUUCGGUAAGCCCUUCGGGAAAGCUCCGGGCUUAACCCGGAAAGGUCGGAGGGGACUGCCGAGCUAGAGGACGGGAGAGGAGCGCGGAAUUCCCGGUGUAGCGGUGAAAUGCGUAGAGAUCGGGAGGAAGGCCGGUGGCGAAGGCGGCGCUCUGGAACGUUUCUGA
rnacentral:rRNA from 1 species